CCUACGGGAGGCAGCAGUGAGGAAUAUUGGUCAAUGGCCGGAAGGCUGAACCAGCCAAGCCGCGUGAGGGAGGAAGGCGCAGAGCGUCGCAGACCUCUUUUGCCGGGGGACAAAAGGCCGGACUCGUCCGGUCCUGAGGGUACCCGGAGAAAAAGCAUCGGCUAACUCCGUGCCAGCAGCCGCGGUAAUACGGAGGAUGCGAGGGUUAUCCGGAUUCAUUGGGUUUAAAGGGUGCGCAGGCGGGCCUUUAAGCCGGCGGUAAAAAUUCGGGGCUCAACCCCGUCCGGCCGUUGAAACUGGGGGCCUUGAGUGGGCGAGAAGUAGGCGGAAUGCGUGGUGUAGCGGUGAAAUGCAUAGAUAUCACGCAGAACCCCGAUUGCGAAGGCAGCCUGCCGGAGCCCGACUGACGCUGAGGCACGAAAGUGCGGGGAUCGAACAGGAUUAGAUACCCGAGUAGUC
rnacentral:rRNA from 1 species